AUUGAACGCUGGCGGCAGGCCUAACACAUGCAAGUCGAACGGUAACAGGAAGCAGCUUGCUGCUUCGCUGACGAGUGGCGGACGGGUGAGUAAUGUCUGGGAAACUGCCUGAUGGAGGGGGAUAACUACUGGAAACGGUAGCUAAUACCGCAUAACGUCGCAAGACCAAAGAGGGGGACCUUAGGGCCUCUUGCCAUCGGAUGUGCCCAGAUGGGAUUAGCUAGUAGGUGGGGUAACGGCUCACCUAGGCGACGAUCCCUAGCUGGUCUGAGAGGAUGACCAGCCACACUGGAACUGAGACACGGUCCAGACUCCUACGGGAGGCAGCAGUGGGGAAUAUCGCACAAUGGGCGCAAGCCUGAUGCAGCCAUGCCGCGUGUAUGAAGAAGGCCUUCGGGUUGUAAAGUACUUUCAGCGGGGAGGAAGGGAGUAAAGUUAAUACCUUUGCUCAUUGACGUUACCCGCAGAAGAAGCGCCGGCUAACUCCGUG
rnacentral:rRNA from 1 species